UAUAUAUAUAUAUACUGUAUAUAUAUACUGUAUAUAUAUACAGUAUAUAUACUGUAUAUUAGAGCAUUGGGAUGAUUACAGUACAAGCCCAUCAAUGAAUUAGAAUAUUACUGAAAAGUCAUUUUAUUUUAGAAACUUUAUCACUUAGUGAAACACAUUAUAUUACACACAGUUGAAUGUUUCCCAGCCUUUAUUUUUUACUAAUUAUUAUGAUUUUCCUGUUGCAGUUAAUGAAAACGUGGCAAUGUUGUUAAAAGUUAUUAUUUUCAAGAGGUACUUUUAAUCUAUAUUCUAGUUUAUUGAAUAUGACAGGUGGUUUUAAUGGGAAUCAGCAGGACUAAAUUGGUCCCUGAGAAUAAAGAGCGUGGGUCUCUGUUAUAAACACCAUGGGUUAGAUGCAACUGUGGAAUUCUGAAAUCAAAAUAAAAAAGCACAACUAACUCCUGGCCAAAUGUCAGAAUUAGUCUUUAAAAUAAUAUAAUUGGAGAAUCAUCUUUAGAAGUUUCCAUCUUUUUAUUCCCUUUUUAUGUUCAGCAAAAAGGAAUAAAUCCCCAGUAAGUGCUAGUGAGGAGAAGAGGAAGAGUAGGGAUAAUAGAGGAGGAAUGACAAACAAAGACGAAGAGGAAGAAAAAGUUUUCUUUGUGAAGCCAGGAAGGAAACGCUGCCAAGGAAUGAAAGGAUGAGAGAGGGGGGUCAGGUUCUUUAACCUUCCUUUCUUCUUCCUCAGGCCCUGUGUUAGGCUCAGCUGCUGAGCAACACACCCCGCCUGAAGGGCCUUUCUGACCCAACAUGAACCUCACACAAAGACUUUGUCCAUCACUGAAAGCAAUCUUUCCACAGAAUGCAGAGUUCUCCAGGGAUUUGCCUUUACUUUGUUAAAGUGUCGACUGUGCUGCGAUCACAGAGGCAGAGAACUCUGUUUACUUAGAGGUUAAAAAUUCUAAUUAACAAACAGGCAACAAAACUAACAGCUUCAUUGUAGUCAGAUAAUAUAUUAGGUGUUUAGUUACUUAGAGGGAGCCCGUGUCAUUGGGUCAGCCCCUCCCCAACCUGUUGACACUUGUCUACAGUGUUCAACUGAACAUGUGGGAAAUAAACCGACUGUGUGUAACAGUUAGCAACUCUGCAUCAGAUAUCAGCAUGUGAUAAUGGAUAUUUAAUUAUUAAUAAGAAAGAUAAAUAUAAUGUAGAAUAUCAAAUGUUUCUCAAUUCUUCCAACUAGACCAAGUUCUAAUGAGCUCUAGGAGCCAUGUGUGGCCCUUGGAAUAAGUUUGUACAGCCCCUGUGUUUUCAAAUUAGGUUUCCAUGGCAAGUUUACAUCUGCCUAAACGGAAGAUAAGUAAGUGUUAAGAACAACACAAAGGUUUUUUUCUUUCUCUUUUUAUUUCAUAGAAAGACCUGCAAAAAACCCUGCGACCUUUUACUCAGAAACACACUUGGGAACAUUCACCCAUUACACCGGCUAAACAUAGUGAAGGUCUUAAAAGGAAAAUUCCUGUUUUUGUUGCUGGAAAUGAACUAAAAACAUUUUAUCGACCAAAAAAGUAGAAAACAACUGGCCCAAAAAAGUUAAAUAAACGUAAACAUUAUGGCAAAUGUCACACUAACAUUGGCUUCAUGAAAAUAUUACCUGUUUAAUUCAUUGCUGUGCAUUCCGCUUGCUCUAAUUUUAAUUGUUCGACAUUUGGAACACGAACUGAACGCCUUUGUUCAUUUUCUCUGCUGCUAUUCCUGAAACUACAGACUGCAUUUCUAAAACAGCACAGAAAAUUGACGUCAACAUUUACAAUAUCUCCUUCUGUUCACUGAAAGGCCCGAUUGAAAUUCAUAUUGACAAAUCCAUCUCAAUGGGAGAAGCUUGGAGGGGUGAUGAGAAUCGAGCAAAAUUGCUGGGGAAGGCAAACAAUCGAUCAAUCAAUCAAUCAAUCAAUCAAGUUUAUUUGUACAGCAUAUUUCAGCAACAUAUGACAGAUAAAUACAUCAUAUAGUCACUAGUUGUGAAAAACAAUAACAAUUACUUCUGGCAAUUGUCAAGCUGCGUUUUAUGAGCAAUAGCUGACCAGUAGAGUCUUAACAUAAUAUAUAUUUUUGUCAAUUCCUCUUAUUACCUAAAACUAAAGUCAAACUCCACGGUUUAAGUUUAGGGAGUAAGAAAUGCUUUGUUUCCGUGAAAGUGACAGAACUGAACUGACCCAGAACUGCUCUGUUGAGUCUGCAGCCAUGUGGACGGCCUGAUGUUGGACAGUCCAGCUUCUGGACUGUCUGGACUGUCCAACAUCCCUCUGCCCUCCAUCCUGCCUUUACAUAGAUUAAGGUAGCCGGGUCAGCCCCUCCCUCACCUCCUACCACCCAGUAGCGGGGGUUAAUAGAGAUCAGCAGGGGGGAGCACACGUCUGAUUGACAUGGCCGACGGGGACCGGGGCGAUGGCUUUUUACCGGGGCCUGUUGUUCAUUUUAAUUGUUGUCUCAGCUCUUUGUCGUCGGGUGGAGACCUGGAGGGCAGGAAGACAAGAGGGAUGGACAGGGGGGAGAGUAGACGGGAGGGAGUGGACACUAGUGAUUUACAUUAACAUGUAGUGAAAUAAACAAGCAGAGAAGUCAAGCGUUAAAUCAACUUGGAGAGAGAGAGACGGAGAGAAAGCCUCCAGGGUGAGAGGGGAACAGAGAGGAGGAGAAUGUGUGUGUGCUCCAAAACAAACGCUCUGUUUUAUUGUUCUAUUAGCGCGCACUGGAUUUCCAUGCAGAAAAGCACACACACACGCACACCCACACACACACACACGCCCACUGUCAGAUUUGAAUGUCUAGAGUCUCUGUUUUCUCUCUCCAGUAUUUUAGCAUUCUAAUCCAUCACUGGCCUGACAUGGGGAUGCUGUCUCCCUCUCUCCCUCCAUGCUGCUGCUCAUACACGCCAUCCGAACGGAAGAUAAAGGCAAAGCAGGGGGAAAAACAAACUCCACAGCAGGGAGAGCUUUAUCCAGACAGAUAAAGCGGUGGAAUAAAGCAGCGACGGAGAGAUACAGUGGAAGUGGAAGAUGUGGAAGGACAGCAGAAAAAGGGGAAGUAAGCAACUGAAGAGGGAGAGGAGGAGUGAAAGAGUGGAGAUGAGAGGGGAAAACAGAGAAAGAGUAGAAAAUCAAAGCAGAAAGAGAUGGCGUGUGUGAGGGUGUGUGUGUGUUGCAAUGAGUUGCGGCUGAAGUCUGAACCUCCCUGCUCCAUUUCACACUCUGUAGGUCCUGACGCAUCAGUGCUAGAAGACACACAUACUGUCAUCCAAACACACACACACACACACACACGCGCACAAAGGCUGUGUCCUUCCUUUUCGAUUUCAGAUCCACAAAAUCACACACACUUGCUGUGAUUUCUGAAUCAUUCAUACGAAUAAAGACAGAAGCACAGAGACACAGUCCUGUCUGCUGAACUGGAGUCCUGCAGCUUUAACCCUCCAGAUUUGAGAGAGGAGUUCCCUCAUUUUUUUAAGGCACUUAUGUGACUGCUCAUGUGCAGAGCUGCUAGACGACUAAACUUCUGACACGAAUAUACAGUUAAUUACAUUACAAUAAAACACCCUCAGCAUUGCAGUUUGAUAAAGGAUUUUAUUUCUUUAUUUUUUGCUUUAGUUGCCGCGGUGAAGUUUUGUCCUGCCUCAGAUCAUCUCCUGCGGAGAACAGGAAUUAAAGAUUUUAUUUAUUUAUUAUUACAAAAGCAUUUUUGUAAAUUUAUUUGAAAAAACCCAAAUAAACUUUGACAUUGUUUACUAUUUUGGACAUUACACAAAGCAGUAUAUUUAUCUAGACUCAUAACAUCUUAUGUUUUUGCUUUUUUCUGACCUAUCAAGUCUUUGGCCGAUCUUUGUAAAUUGAGUUGAAGUAGAUUUAAAAUACAUACAAAAAAAAUGAUAAAAUUUACCAGUAAUAAUACCCAGUUGUGGGUACACUUCCACUAAUCCAACAAUGUGCAAUAGUGGAGCUAAUUUCUUGUUUAGCACUUCAGCGCGUUUAGCUUUGAAAAUGUUUAGCGCAUCUCGUUUCCCCUAAAUGUUUCCAUAUAGAUCAUAAAACUCUGAUUUACCGGACUGUUUUGUAAACUUCCAGUUGAAUAAAGAACAGCAUGUUAAGAAAUCUUGAAAUAGUUGGUUUAUCAUGCUCUUAUUUUGAAGUGGUUGAACACUGUACGCAGCAACUUUGUUUCCUCUCACGUUUUUUUCUUUUUUCUGAACUUUGAUUGAAUUUACAUUGACACAAAUCAAAUUCAAAUCCAGUGUUAUUUUUAUGGUUUUUUUGGUAUUUUCCUGUGGUGUCAGUUAGCCGCAGUCAGCUAGCACUGAAUGUAGCACCUUUUCUCCAAGAUACAACCACAGUGGAGACAAGUCAGAAUUAGAGCCUUAAAGAAAUGAGAUAAAACUUCAGAGGGAUGUAAAAACCAACCUUAAAGCUUGUUAUCAUGAAUUACUUCUGCUCAUACUGUAGCAAGGCUGUAGCAGUAAAACCUCUGAAUGUAUCGUGGCCUGUAUUGGUUAUGAAUGAAGUGUUUUUUUUGUUGUUUGUUUUUUGUGUUGAAUCUUUGUUCAGUGUGUUACUGUUCUGUUCUUAAUGUAAGAAACGCUUCGACAUGCACAGGUUUGGUUCAGUAACAGCAGUUAACGGAUCUAUCAAGAACCGUCUGUUAUCAAUUCGGACAUUUUGUGUAAAAAAAAAAAAAAAAGGAUUGUGUGCUGUGUGUUGUUAUUUUACCCUUCAUUCAUUAGCCUUUCUGGCAGUAUAUCCAUAUAUUCUCACCUAUAUGACGAUAUUGAUGCUGCUAAUGGAGAGUCUCAUGCUUAACACUGAGUGGGAUCAGCUCUGAACAUUUAAAGAGACAGUACAGGAUAAGACGUGGAGCUGGCGGCGGCCCUCGUGCGCCUCCUGAACUCUCAGAAAGACUCUCUCCUUCGUCCCACAUGGAUUACUAUUUCAGAUAUCUGCUUGGUGGUUUUUUUUUUGUCUCUUUAGCUGAAUGUUGUUUUUUUUCAGCCGUAACAGAUGCACCAUCCUUUUACUGUCUGCAAUUCGUUGCCAUGGAUACCCGUGUCUCACCUAGGCUGCUGCACCCCGGGUGAUCCCAAAAGCUCUUAUCCCGGCAGGUGCCUGGCUGAAUGGGACAUCAUCGCUGCGGAGAUUGAGGCGAUGACACACACACACACACACACACCAAGCGAGAGAGCACACACAUGGGCUCAAACAGUCACAGACUCGGAAAUGAGGCUGGCUUUCAUGAGCGAGCGGCUGCAGUCUGAAAGGUCGUCUCCUCCAAACAGAGACAGUCGUGAGGACUGAGCCGUCACUGGAGGGGAACUCUGUAGAGACGGACAAAUCCCCCCCUACCCUCACCCCUAUUUGAGUCUGUCACCUGUUCCCCUGUGCUAAUUCUACACUAAAGCCAGAAACUGUUCCAUGUAAAUGCUUUUGAAGAACGUUGACCGCUGCCACCUCCAGCCCACUGCCCCCGGCUUCCUGUCUACAGCAUGUCAGUGUUCGGUACAUGAGGGAGUCGGAGCCCACAGGACGGCCUCUCCCGCUCUGUUCCAUGUUAGUGUGUUAUUUUCUUACGCUCUGUUGGGCCUGUGCUUUUUUUUUUUGCCUCUUCGAACUGUUGAUGACUGUUUCAUAAGCACACAAACCUCAACAGGCCCUCUGGCACACACAUAGGGAGAAGACUGAAAAAAAAAAAGAUGGAAGCUCUGGCCCUGGUUGCUACAGAUCAGAGGGUGGUUCCCAAGCUGUGUUGUUUUAAAAACUUGGUAUCUCAGUGGGCGUAUAUGUGGCCUCGCAUGAAAUAUUUCAAUUUCCGAUCAUCCAGUGUCAUUUUGCCCCGCUGAAUGUGCCCAGAGGGAAUAUGAAGCACUCCAUGCCUCUGCUGUAUUCACCUGUGAAUAAUAAAAUAAAUGUACAAGAUGACCUUUCUUUA